GUUCUCAGUUCGGAUCGGAGUCUGCAACCCGACUCCGUGAAGCUGGAUUCGCUAGUAAUCGCGCAUCAGCCAUGGCGCGGUGAAUACGUUCCCGGGCCUUGUACACACCGCCCGUCAAGCCAUGGGAGCCGGGGGUGCUUGAAGUGCGUCGCCGCAAGGCGCGCCCUAGAGCAAAACCGGUGACUGGGGCUAAGUCGUAACAAGGUAGC
rnacentral:rRNA from 1 species